UUCAGGUAAAUGUUUUGAAUGGAAUAGCAAGGCUGGUGUCAUGGAAGAUACUCAAUAAAGAACCUUUUGACCUGAUGGAAAUGAGGUGGACGCAUGACCUGCUGAUCCUUGGGAUACAGGCAUAAUGACUGGAGCUACAGCAGCCAUAUUGGAUCAAGAGAGUCGAGGCCACGUUCCAAGCAUUGUAAAGCAUAAAUAUAAAAUAAACAUAGGUCCUUGAUAGUUUAAUGAUGCCACCACACCUUCUUAGCCCUCAAUUUUCUUAUAUGAGACAAUAAACCUUUGUGGAUUUAGGCCAUUGCCA